rnacentral:rRNA from 1 species
UACAGAGGUCUCAACCGUUGUUCGGAUUCAUUGGGCGUAAAGGGUGCGUAGGCGGUCGUGCAAGUCGGAUGUGAAAUCUCAGGGCUCAACCCUGAAACUGCAUUCGAUACUGCGUGGCUAGAGUGCUGGAGAGGAGACUGGAAUUUACGGUGUAGCAGUGAAAUGCGUAGAUAUCGUAAGGAAGACCAGUGGCGAAGGCGAGUCUCUGGACAGCAACUGACGCUGAGGCACGAAAGCUAGGGGAGCGAUCCGG